GUGCUUCCUUCGGCAGCUCGUACACUAAAAUGGGAAUGAUACGGAGAAGAUCAGCAUGGCCCCUUGCAGGAGAAUGACAUGCAAAUUCAUGAAGUGUUCCAUAUUUUU
rfam:Ailuropoda melanoleuca scaffold696_7, whole genome shotgun sequence.